CGCUCGUUUAAAUACCCCGACUUUUGUCCCUCCUCCUCACUGGUUUGCAUGUAAACUGGUGCUUUCCUCUUAGGACUUAGGGGAACUCCGGCGGUAAUAACCACAUAUAGUUCCCUUAAUCAGUAGCCUGGCAAACCCGGUCGGGGAUUUCCAUGGCCCUAAAAGCGUCACUGUUUCUUAACUAGUGGCACAUCCGCGUGGCAUUUACUGAAAAAACCUUUGCUUCAUUGCUCUUGGGUCAGAGGAAACCCUGAUAAGCGGAGUAGAGAUGAUCAUUGGUCAGCCUAACUGGAAAAGCAAGAAGAAUGUUGUUGUAUCUGAAGAUCGCUGUUCUGCAUGGCACAGUGGAAGUGAGCAGAUGUCUUCCCACAACUUGACUGAGAUAUAAAAGAGAGAAGCGAGCAGAGAGACAAGGGAACCUUAUACCGCCAAGAAACAAGAGCCAGGAGAACAGCAUAUCCUUUGGACCUGGGUUCCCUGUGUUGAGAACUUCCUUGACCAGAGCCAAGAGAGAAAGCCUCUACCUGGAGCUGGCACCCUGAAUUCAGACCUCUAGCCACCUAGACUGUGAGAGAAUAAAUUUCCCUUUGUUAAAGCCAUC